AUCACAGUAUCUUCAAGCUCUCACUAUCCAGGUGCCUUCUGGACAUGACAAGUGGAGGCUGGUCCCUGCUGCUGCCCAGUGAGGCACCAGGCUCCUGAGCAGGUAAACUACCAGCUCUCCAUUCAUUGGACACUGACCAGUACCUUGCAUAAAAACUGCUCUGGGGUCUGCGUGACAAUAGUUUUGAAGGAGAAUGAGCUAAUCUUCUAGUUAUAAUUAGAUUAUUUCUGGUAUGCCAUUUAACUUAUUCACUGAAUCAUUAACCGGAACACAGUGACUGUUCACCUAUAAUAGAACCCAAGUGCCUACCCUGGUAGAGUGGAACGUCCAGAGCCGCACAGCCCGUCUCCAUGGAGUUGGCGUUCUCAGUCUUGUGGUUUUCCAUUGAGUAAUUUUUCUAAGUGAUGCUUUUUUGUA